UACGUAGGGGGCAAGCGUUGUCCGGAUUUACUGGGCGUAAAGAGCGUGUAGGCGGCCAGGCAGGUCUGUUUGUGAAAACUGGAGGCUCAACUUCCAGACGUCGACAGAAACCGCUUGGCUAGAGUCCGGAAGAGGAGAGUGGAAUUCCUGGUGUAGCGGUGAAAUGCGCAGAUAUCAGGAAGAACACCGAUGGCGAAGGCAGCUCUCUGGGACGGUACUGACGCUGAGACGCGAAAGCGUGGGGAGCGAACAGG
rnacentral:rRNA from 1 species